rnacentral:rRNA from 1 species
GACGAACGCUGGCGGCGUGCUUAACACAUGCAAGUCGAACGGAAAGGCCCUGCUUUUGUGGGUCGCUCGAGUGGCGAACGGGUGAGUAACACGUGAGUAACCUGCCCUUGACUUUGGGAUAACUUCAGGAAACUGGGGCUAAUACCGGAUAGGAGCUCCUGCUGCAUGGUGGGGGUUGGAAAGUUUCGGCGGUUGGGGAUGGACUCGCGGCUUAUCAGCUUGUUGGUGGGGUAGUGGCUUACCAAGGCUUUGACGGGUAGCCGGCCUGAGAGGGUGACCGGCCACAUUGGGACUGAGAUACGGCCCAGACUCCUACGGGAGGCAGCAGUGGGGAAUAUUGCACAAUGGGCGGAAGCCUGAUGCAGCAACGCCGCGUGCGGGAUGACGGCCUUCGGGUUGUAAACCGCUUUCGCCUGUGACGAAGAGUGAGUGACGGUAAUGGGUAAAGAAGCACCGGCUAACUACGUG